AGGCACGAAAGCGUGGGGAGCGAACCGGAUUAGAUACCCGGGUAGUCCACGCCGUAAACGAUGGAUACUAGCUGUUGGAGGUAUCGACCCCUUCAGUAGCGAAGCUAACGCGUUAAGUAUCCCGCCUGUGGAGUACGGUCGCAAGACUAAAACAUAAAGGAAUUGACGGGGACCCGCACAAGCGGUGGAGCGUGUUGUUUAAUUCGAUGGUAAGCGAAGAACCUUACCCAGGCUUGACAUCCCGAGAAGGAUCUCGAAAGAGAACUGUGCUUUAUUGAACUCGGUGACAGGUGUUGCAUGGCCGUCGUCAGCUCGUGUCGUGAGAUGUUUGGUUAAGUCCAUCAACGAGCGCAACCCUUGUGAAUAGUUGUAUUUUUCUAUUCAGACUGCCCCGGUAACGGGGAGGAAGGAGGGGAUGAUGUCAGGUCAGUAUUUCUCUUACGUCCUGGGCUAGAAACGUGAUACAAUGGCAAGUACAAUGCGCUGCGAAGCCGCGAGGUGAAGCAAAUCGCACCAAAGCUUGUCCCAGUUCGGAUUGGAGGCUGAAACUCGCCUCCAUGAAGUCGGAAUCGCUAGUAAUCGCAAGUCAGCAAAUUGCGGUGAAUACGUUCCCGGGUCUUGUACACACCGCCCGUCAAACCAUGAAAGUGACCAACACCCGAAGUCCGAUUCGUCGGCCUAAGGUGGGGGGCAUGAUUGGGGUUAAGUCGUAACAAGGUAUCCGUAGCGGAAGCUGCGGAUG
rnacentral:rRNA from 1 species